rnacentral:lncRNA from 1 species
GUUUUUAUUGGAGGAAAUGUCGACAACCCUUGCCUCCCUCUCCGUAUUAUUUGGACCUCAUUUCUCUCUCCCCUCAAAUAUUCAUACAAAUACAACCUUAUAGUACAUGAAAUUAUAUGUAAGAAAAAUACAAAUUUAGCUUCAGUCUCAUGGAAGCAAAAACAUUGCUCCCAUGUCAACUUUCUCUAACAACAACAUAUCUGUCUAUUGCUUCUUUCUCUCUUCUUCUUCAACCUCUCAAAUUAUUCCCCUCAAACUAUUAAUACUAUUUACUCUUUCUAAUCUCCAUGCCCACUUUUCUCUUCCUCUACUACUAUUAUGGCACCGCUUUCCAAAAAUCUUAACACUCUUAUUCUUUAUUUAGCUCUCGUCUUUUGCUUUAUUGUUGGAUGGUGCAACUUAAUUUCCAAUUCUAGCAUAAGUAAUCAUCAUUUUAUUUCCUUUUCAAGUCACGGGAUUUCCUUUACUAUUAUUAUGGCACCACUUUCCAAAAAUGUUACCACUCUUAUUCUUUCGUUAGCUCUCUUCUUAUGCUUUAUUAUUGGAUGGUGCAACUUAAUCUCCAAUUCUAGCAUAAUUAAUCAUCAUUUUAUUUCCUUUUCAAGUCACGGGAAUUUGAACAGUAGGAGAGAAUUAAUAGCAAGUAAAUUUGACUUCAAGCCAUUUAUGCGACACCACCGGAAACGCCUGUCUCCGCCGCCGGAAAGUGAGAUCGACCCGAUUUAUGGUGUUGAGAAACGCCUUGUUCCCUCCGGUCCAAAUCCGCUUCAUCAUUGAGGUUUUAAUUUAAUUUCUUCAUCUGCAACGUAACAAUUCCUGUAUUAUUAUAAUUUAUUCUGUCAUUAAAAUUAUUGUUACUAGUAUAAAGUUCGCCAUAUUGUGUAUCAUAAUGAGAAAAGUUCAAUAUUCAAAGCCAGAACAAAUUUUACCUUCAAAUAUUUGAUUGAUCUUUUUUUAGUUUCUAGAGCUAGCUAGUCUAGUUGUUGUGCAUCUUCCAUAAGCUCUGAAAUUGUUAGCACUAAUCAUUUUCAUUUAUUAUAUUAAAUAUAAUGAUGCUAUAAUAUGAUUAAGUAAAGACUUUGGAUCAUGGAAAAUUAUGGAAAUAAA